GAUGAACGCUGGCGGCGUGCCUAAUACAUGCAAGUCGAGCGAACAGAUGAGGAGCUUGCUCCUCUGACGUUAGCGGCGGACGGGUGAGUAACACGUGGAUAACCUACCUAUAAGACUGGGAUAACUUCGGGAAACCGGAGCUAAUACCGGAUAAUAUAUUGAACCGCAUGGUUCAAUAGUGAAAGACGGUUUUGCUGUCACUUAUAGAUGGAUCCGCGCCGCAUUGGCUAGUUGGUAAGGUAACGGCUUACCAAGGCAACGAUGCGUAGCCGACCUGAGAGGGUGAUCGGCCACACUGGAACUGAGACACGGUCCAGACUCCUACGGGAGGCAGCAGUAGGGAAUCUUCCGCAAUGGGCGAAAGCCUGACGGAGCAACGCCGCGUGAGUGAUGAAGGUCUUCGGAUCGUAAAACUCUGUUAUUAGGGAAGAACAAAUGUGUAAGUAACUAUGCACGUCUUGGCGGUACCUAAUCAGAAAGCCACGGCUAACUACGUG
rnacentral:rRNA from 1 species